GAACGUCUGUCUCCAGUCAGAUGGGUGUGUGUUAAUGGUGAAGGACCUAGAUGAACGUCUGUCUCCAGUCAGAUGGACUAUCUUCACAGCAGGUGUGGUCUCCUUUCUCCUUGGCAUCACGGGUCUGCAUGGAGCUCGUAAGAAGAACAAGAACUUCCUGAUCAUGUAUUCUGUUGGAUCUUGUCUUGGAUGCAUUGGACUCAGGUUUCUGGCCUACUACCUUCCACCACAGCUUCCAAAUAUAAAAGCCUUGUAUGAAGAGUACAUCCCAUUGCACACAAAUGGAAGAGAUCUGGUAGGACUGACGGUACUGCAAACCAUUGGGGGAUGCUGUGGAUUGGUCAACGUGUAUGAAGAUUGGGGUUCUAAAUGCUAUCCUCUCUGACUAGAGUCCUGUGUUCUUACUGAGUAUGGCUAUGUGUACAAACAACCUUGUCUUGAUCUAGUUGUGAAGAUUUACAUGAAUAUUGUGAGGAGCAUCUAUAUUUGCCAUGUGGUCUUCACAGUGAGUGCUGGACUUGUACCGUAGAAAAACACCAUUGUUCUCCCUCACUUCACAUGGAUCAAAUCCACCAUAUUGAAUCAGUGAUUUAGUGCUCAAUUUCAGAACCCUAACGCAAUGGUCAAUCUAAGCGUAGGUGUUAGCGCUAUAGGUUCGAUGACACAGUUGCUGGGUUUUGAUGAAUUAACAAGUCUUGCCUUGGAAUCAACUCCAAUUCCAAUGUCUAAAUACACUUACAGGCACAAUAUAGUAAAUUCAGAAAGUGUUCAGAUCCCUUGACUUUUUCCACAUUUUGUUAUGUUACAGCCUUAUUAAAACAUGGAUUAACCCCCCCCUCAGCAAUCUACACAAUACCCCAUAAUGACGAAGCAAACAGUUUUUUACACAUUUUUACAAUAAUAAAAAAAAAUCUAAAUGAAUGUAUUCAGACCCUUUACUCAGUACUUUGUUG
rnacentral:lncRNA from 1 species